rnacentral:rRNA from 1 species
AUGCAUGCUUUGAUUCAUCAAUGAAAUUGCGUACGGCUCAUUAGAGCAGAUAUCACCUUAUCCGGGAUCCUCAUAUGGAUAACUGCGGAAAUACUGGAGCUAAUACAUGCAACUAUACCCCAACGCAAGGCGGGGUGCAAUUAUUAGAACAGACCAAACGUUUUCGGACGUUGUUUGUUGACUCUGAAUAAAGCAGUUUACUGUCAGUUUCGACUGACUCUAUCCGGAAAGGGUGUCUGCCCUUUCAACUAGAUGGUAGUUUAUUGGACUACCAUGGUUGUUACGGGUAACGGAGAAUAAGGGUUCGACUCCGGAGAGGGAGCCUUAGAAACGGCUACCACG